GGGGCGCCACCCGGUGGCGCCGCCUGAGACGAAGUUGGGGCAAUGCCAGGUUGGGAAGUGCCCUUUCCAAUUUCUUGUUUGUACCAAGGUGUGUUAUUCCAUCACACUCAAAAUACAUGCAUAUUUAGUACUGGUACGUGCAAGUAUGUAAAACUUUAAGAUAUAGAUAUGCAAAAUCAACACGCUUAGAGAAUGUAUUCUUAAAGGUUACAUGACAUCCUCUGAUAACUGGGAGAUGGGGAAGCCAUGCAGCUCAGUGAUGCACACUCGAUCGAUCUGUUAAAGACGGUGGACGUCGAUGGCAACAUGGUGGCCAUGGAUCUGGCCGGAGAAGCGCCUCACCUUUGGCCACCAUGGAAGAACACCUCUUCAUCCUAAUUUGAACUCUUUCGUAAAACAAAUCUCCUAUUAGUUCAGACAUUAUGCAAAGUGCUCUAGAACAAAAACCAAAGCAACAUUUUGUCCACAAUAUUUGGUAUAAACUCUAAAGUGAUCCAGUAACAAAGAAUAUGCUAAUGGUGCACUAACAAAAUCUCUUAUACCAUUUGGAUAUUACAAGGAAUAACCAGUGGUUAUACUACAUACUUCACAAAAAAUGGCAAUAUGGGCAUAUGCAUCCAAACGACCAUUGUUAGAAAGAAGCAUAUAUACACAUAUAAGUGGGCAAACGACGAACAAACAAUUGUAUGGAUACAUGUGGACAGAGACGGAAAAAGGUAACAACCUGGUCCCAUUGCGGCAUUUCUGUCAUCUGUGUCUUGUAAAGAAACGAACGGGACUGCAGCCGCACCCAACAUAGAUGUAAGCACAUAUGACACAUGCACAGAAGAAGAUCAAGGGAUAGAAGAAUCACCAACCUAUAAACCCAGGCAGCAACUUGCAGAAAGAUCAUCACCUGCAAAUAAGAAAGUGGAGCACCAGAGCAGCCAGAUUAGUCAAAAUCUAAGAGAAAAGGACUAAAAUAAUGAGCUCCAGAGAACAACAGUCAAGAAAUAAUCUUUCCAAUUACUGGACGGAACUUUGUGUCACAAACUGAAGAAAUGGAAAUAAAUCCGACUUCAUGACGUUCAAUAUAUCAUGUGUGCCUUAGAUCAUAUAAUAAUGUGGAAGUAACUACAACAGAGAGGAAGACAACACACACCUUAGGAUAGAAGAUGAACUUAAUAAUGUGGAAGUAACUACAACAGAGAGGAAGACAACACACACCUUAGGAUAGAAGAUGAGCUUGACGACAAGGUCUACGCCGUGGAGAGAAGGAGCGGCAACAACCACCACCAGAUGAGCUCGACCACCACCAGGAGUAAAAAUUCAAAAAAGUUCAUCAAGGACAUGAACUAAGCACUAAUAUUUACAAUAUAGUAUCACCAUGAACAUGAACAGUACGUGUAGACUAAAUACUUUCCGAUUACAAAUACGGUGAAUAUUGAAAGUGCCAGAACUUUCAUUCCAAACUUCCUAAGCAAAAUUAUCAUAAUGAACGACAUACAAAAGUGCCUACGAAUUAACAAAAAUGUAUGUCAAUUAACAAAAAAUUCCUAAGCAAAAUCAUCACAGCUGUGACAAGAUAGAGAAUAUCGCCUGACUUUCCUCAGCUUUUGUGAACAAGUGCAUAGCUCUAAGAAUCUCUCUACCUUAAAUGUAACCAUCACCUCCUAUGCAUAUAUGUUCAGGACAAACACCUAGAUGUAAGUUUCUGCAGAUCGAUACCUCUUGGGAUGGGUCUGCAAUGGAAAAGACCAUAACAAAACUGUUAAAAAUAUCCAAUUCUGGGAUUAAAGACCAAAUUGGUAAUCCCAAUGGAUAUUUAACAAAUGUUUCUAAAGGCAUAUGUCAUAUCAUGUGGCCUGAAAUAGAUGAGGGCAUACAUACCCAUGAACGGUUGUCCUUUCUUCAUAUGCAGUGAAUUACCAAGAUAAUAAAUACUGGACGUAUUCCAAGUUUGUUGUGCUAUAAACAUGAUUGGUACAGUCUCCGGGUCCAGGGUCACUCGUGUCAAUCUUCUUGGAUUUUCUGCGAUCGUCUUGUAGGCAUAGAGAAACAAAAUCUGCACAAACAAAGAAGAGAAGCUCUAAAAGUAGAGCACUGAAAUAGGGGGGAAUCAGGAAGACAUAGAGAAACAAAAUCUGCACAAACAAAGAAGAGAAGCUCUAAAAGUAGGGCAAUGAAAGAGGAGGGGAAUCAGGAAGACAUCUAAAUCCAUAAUUCUAAAGCUAAAUAUAUCAGCAUUAGAUAUGAGGAGGCUUUGACCUAUAGUUCUUUCUCCCCUUACAAUAGAGGUGACACCAAAACUUUCAGCUAUUACUAAAGCACAUCAAACGAAUUGAUUAAAUCGGUAACCAAAAUAGUAAGAAGCAUUUAUGAUACUAUAUACUUAUAAAAUACUAUAGGGAAGGAAGGAGUACUGCAGUUUGUUUUGGAUAUGUCUAUAAUUUAGGGAGUCUUUACAAGUGAUGUAGUUCAAGCUACUCACUUUAAUAUAUCAGCUAUUGUACAGAUAAACCUAUAUAGAAUGCUUCUGCACAAUUUGAUAAAAGAGAUUAAAUACUGGUUUAGCUAUUGUUGCCUCGAUUUUAAACAUAAAUGUACCUAAAACCCAAGAUAUGAGUGUGUAAUUUACUUGGCCGAGUUAGAUACAUGAUGUACUUGUCAGAUUAUUGGAAAGAUUUUGUAACGAGUCUACUUCUACAGGUGGC
rnacentral:lncRNA from 1 species